rnacentral:lncRNA from 1 species
ACAUCUGGAAAACUCCAAUGCACACAUGUGAGAGCCAGAGAGAGAGACCUAUCUGAAACCAGCUUGGGCAGCUGGAGAAGAAUGAGGGUGAGCAGACAUCUGGGCAAGCCGGAGUUUGGGAAAACUGCCAUCUUCGACCUUUCUGGAGCAGCAAGAUACUGGUGUGAGUCUGUCAGGAGCUUCAGCCUAGCUGAUGAAUAGACAGGAGAGAGCGAUGGGCUCUACAGACCCGCUCAGCAGUUCUUUCCAACUUGGAGUGCUCUGGUCAUUUGCAUCUGAAUCCUGCUGUGUCUUCUCUCCAGUGGAGAUUUUCAAACCAGGCUGCCAUCAGCACCCACUCACCACCCUAAGUUUGAAUAUGGACUUUGGAGCUGGGCAGCCCUUUUGUGACCAUGAGGCAACAUUGAAGAUGCAAGCCACAUGCUAAGACAGAAGAAAAUAAAGACAGAACUAAGCUGGGGCAUGUAUGACAUUUCAAGCUCUCAGAUCAGCCCUUGAUGGCCACCAUCCAUAUUUAUUGACAUGAAAAGAAGUCCUCAUUUUGUCAAAGCCAAUGAUAUUCAGGACUGUUAUUAAUAACAAAAUACAAUUCUUCCCUCUACCC